rnacentral:rRNA from 1 species
CAGAGGGUGCAAGCGUUAAUCGGAUUUACUGGGCGUAAAGCGUGAGUAGGUGGCUUCCUAAGUCGGUUGUGAAAUCCCUGGGCUUAACCUGGGAAUUGCAGUCGAUACUGGGAAGCUCGAGUUCGGUAGAGGGUGGCGGAAUUCCCGGUGUAGCGGUGAAAUGCGUAGAUAUCGGGAGGAACAUCGAUGGCGAAGGCAACCACCUGGGCCUGAACUGACACUGAGACACGAAAGCGUGGGUAGCAAACAGGAUUAGAUACCCUGGUAGUCCACGCCGUAAACGAUGAGAACCUGACGUCGGUUUGCUCUGCGAAUCGGUGUCGUAGCUAACGCGCUAAGUUCUCCGCCUGGGGAGUACGGCCGCAAGGUUG